rnacentral:rRNA from 1 species
CAGUCGCCGCGGUAAUACGAAGGUCCCAAGCGUUGUUCGGAAUCACUGGGCGUAAAGGGAGCGUAGGCGGCGUGGUAAGUCAGAUGUGAAAUCCCGGGGCUCAACCCCGGAACUGCAUCCGAUACUGCCAUGCUUGAGGGUUGGAGAGGUAGCUGGAAUUCUCGGUGUAGCAGUGAAAUGCGUGGAUAUCGAGAGGAACACUCGUGGCGAAGGCGAGCUACUGGACAACAUCUGACGCUGAGGCUCGAAGGCUAGGGUAGCGAAAGGGAUUAGAUACCCGCGUAGUCCCUGUCUCUUAUAU